rnacentral:rRNA from 1 species
UACAGAGGUGGCAAGCGUUGUUCGGAAUUACUGGGCGUAAAGGGCGCGUAGGCGGCUCGCUAAGUCGGAUGUGAAAACUCUGGGCUCAACCCAGAGCCUGCAUUCGAAACUGACGAGCUCGAGUUCUGGAGGGGAAAGCGGAAUUCCUGGUGUAGCGGUGAAAUGCGUAGAUAUCAGGAGGAACACCGGUGGCGAAGGCGGCUUUCUGGACAGAAACUGACGCUGAUGCGCGAAAGCUAGGGGAGCAAACAGG